AUCCAGCCAACGAAUCCCAAAAUAGGACAAAAUGCGCGUCCUGGAU
rnacentral:hammerhead_ribozyme from 1 species